GUUGUAUGGUUAAGUGAUUAAGCGUAGACGGUGGAUGCCUUGGCAGUCAGAGGCGAUGAAGGACGUACUAACCUGCGAAAAGCGAUGGUGAGCUGGUAAGAAGCAUUUGAGCCAUCGAUGUCCGAAUGGGGAAACCCACCUGCAUAAGCAGGUAUCUUAGUGUGAAUACAUAGCGCUAAGAGGCGAACUCGGGGAACUGAAACAU
rnacentral:rRNA from 1 species